UACGGGGGGGCAAGCGUUGUUCGGAAUUACUGGGCGUAAAGGGCUCGUAGGCGGCCAACUAAGUCAGACGUGAAAUCCCUCGGCUUAACCGGGGAACUGCGUCUGAUACUGGAUGGCUUGAGGUUGGGAGAGGGAUGCGGAAUUCCAGGUGUAGCGGUGAAAUGCGUAGAUAUCUGGAGGAACACCGGUGGCGAAGGCGGCAUCCUGGACCAAAUCUGACGCUGAGGAGCGAAAGCCAGGGGAGCAAACGGGG
rnacentral:rRNA from 1 species